UGUUAACUCUUUGCAGACGAGGUCUAACUGGCCAUCCCAGCGCGCAGUCUCUCUUCUCUGUGCGUCAGCACUCGCUAUGAAGCCAUGUAGCGAUAGCUAGCAAAACUACUACUAACCCUGCACACACCACGAACUCUAACUAACACACUUAUCGUCUAAAAAACCCAUCGAAACACUCUUAGUAAAAUCCACAGCAUCACUGUGCCCUAGUCUCUUGCCGUAUCCAACCCCCCCCCUCGUCUCUUCCCACGUAUCUCCGUUCUACCUAGCAACAGACUGUCAACACAUUUUUAUUGGUUGUUUCGAAAUGUGGUACAUUUAGACCCCACAAAAUAAGGCGGAAAUGAUCGAUCUUAUUUCUGGCUUUAUUUUGAAGUAAAUAACCACAAAACCAAUAUAAAAACACCACUUUUAUAAAGUUUGAAGUCCGUGCUGUCCAACAGAGUCGAAAUGAAAACUCGGUAUGCGUCCAUGUUAUUACGAAGCCUUAUUAAUGCGUCACAUGCUUGUACGCCGCACGGCGGGCAGCGACUACAUAGGUUUAA